AGAGUUUGAUCAUGGCUCAGAUUGAACGCUGGCGGCAGGCCUAACACAUGCAAGUCGAGCGGUAGAGAGAAGCUUGCUUCUCUUGAGAGCGGCGGACGGGUGAGUAAUGCCUAGGAAUCUGCCUGGUAGUGGGGGAUAACGUUCGGAAACGGACGCUAAUACCGCAUACGUCCUACGGGAGAAAGCAGGGGACCUUCGGGCCUUGCGCUAUCGGAUGAGCCUAGGUCGGAUUAGCUAGUUGGUGAGGUAAUGGCUCACCAAGGCGACGGUCCGUAACUGGUCUGAGAGGAUGAUCAGUCACACUGGAACUGAGACACGGUCCAGACUCCUACGGGAGGCAGCAGUGGGGAAUAUUGGACAAUGGGCGAAAGCCUGAUCCAGCCAUGCCGCGUGUGUGAAGAAGGUCUUCGGAUUGUAAAGCACUUUAAGUUGGGAGGAAGGGUUGUAGAUUAAUACUCUGCAAUUUUGACGUUACCGACAGAAUAAGCACCGGCUAACUCUGUGCCAGCAGCCGCGGUAAUACAGAGGGUGCAAGCGUUAAUCGGAAUUACUGGGCGUAAAGCGCGCGUAGGUGGUUUGUUAAGUUGGAUGUGAAAUCCCCGGGCUCAACCUGGGAACUGCAUUCAAAACUGACUGACUAGAGUAUGGUAGAGGGUGGUGGAAUUUCCUGUGUAGCGGUGAAAUGCGUAGAUAUAGGAAGGAACACCAGUGGCGAAGGCGACCACCUGGACUAAUACUGACACUGAGGUGCGAAAGCGUGGGGAGCAAACAGGAUUAGAUACCCUGGUAGUCC
rnacentral:rRNA from 1 species